rnacentral:rRNA from 1 species
AGUGAACGCUGGCGGUAGGCCUAACACAUGCAAGUCGAACGGCAGCACAGUAAGAGCUUGCUCUUACGGGUGGCGAGUGGCGGACGGGUGAGGAAUACAUCGGAAUCUACUUUUUCGUGGGGGAUAACGUAGGGAAACUUACGCUAAUACCGCAUACGACCUACGGGUGGAAGCAGUGGAUCUUCGGACCUUGCGCGAUUGAAUGAGCCGAUGUCGGAUUAGCUAGUUGGCGGGGUAAAGGCCCACCAAGGCGACGAUCCGUAGCUGGUCUGAGAGGAUGAUCAGCCACACUGGAACUGAGACACGGUCCAGACUACUACGGGAGGCAGCAGUGGGGAAUAUUGGACAAUGGGCGCAAGCCUGAUCCAGCCAUACCGCGUGGGUGAAGAAGGCCUUCGGGUUGUAAAGCCCUUUUGUUGGGAAAGAAAAGCAGCAGGUUAAUACCCCGCUGUUCUGACGGUACCCAAAGAAUAAGCACCGGCUAACUUCGUG